rnacentral:rRNA from 1 species
CCUACGGGAGGCUGCAGUGAGGAAUAUUGGUCAAUGGACGAGAGUCUGAACCAGCCAAGUAGCGUGAAGGAUGACUGCCCUAUGGGUUGUAAACUUCUUUUAUAUGGGAAUAAAAUGUUCCACGUGUGGGAUUUUGUAUGUACCAUAUGAAUAAGGAUCGGCUAACUCCGUUCCAGCAGCCGCGGUAAUACGGAGGAUCCGAGCGUUAUCCGGAUUUAUUGGGUUUAAAGGGAGCGUAGGUGGAUUGUUAAGUCAGUUGCGAAAGUUUGCGGCUCAACCGUAAAAUUGCAGUUGAAACUGGCAGUCUUGAGUACAGUAGAGGUGGGCGGAAUUCGUGGUGUAGCGGUGAAAUGCUUAGAUAUCACGAAGAACUCCGAUUGCGAAGGCAGCUCACUGGACUGCAACUGACACUGAGGCUCGAAAGUGUGGGUAUCAAACAGGAUUAGAUACCCGAGUAGUC